GCUGGCCCUUGUACCACUCAUUUAAAUUCAUACUCAACUAGGAUUCUCCAGCGCUUUACAUGUCUCCUGGAGAAUGCAUAGAAAGUGCUGGGGCCAUGGUGGUGAACAAAAUAAAGUCUAUGUUUUCAUGAAGCUUACUUUCCAGUAAGGUUAGAAAGAAGUUGAAGAACCAAAAAUGUGUAGACUGACGGGAAAGGGAAUGGAAGGGAAUAGUCAUUGAACCGACAUCUCAUUUCCCUUACAGUGUCUCCACCACUCAGAAGGUGCCAAGUACCAUGUGGAUAUUUUACCUUCAUUCAUUAUGUCAUUCAAUCCUUAUCACACUCUGAGGUAGGCAGGAUUUCAAAUGCCCAUAGGGGCCAGCGGACUAUGCAAAAGUGUAUGGAGGCAAACUGGACAGCACUAAGUCUUCCAAAGGGACAUCUACUGCUCAGCUACAGCUAGCUGUUGCCAUGUGAGAGCAGGAGUUCACUGCUGCUAGAUCUUUCCUUUUUCGAGAAAAACCUCAAGUCCAUUUUUAUGUGAAAUCUGAUUUUUUGAAAAGUUGGGUCAAUUUAAAAUCUCUCUGUAGCAUUUGUGAAAUGACAUAUGUAUAAGAUCAUUACAAAACAGUUGUUUGUAAUAGCAAGAGAUUGGAAACAACCCAAAUGUCAAUCAACAGUGGAAUGUAUCAGCAAAUUGUGGUCCAUCUUACAUAACUACUCUACAGCCUGGAAGAGUGGCAAAGAAGCUUUUUAUGCAAUAAUAUGAAACAGACUUCACAACAUUGUUAAAUGAAAAAAGCUAGGUGCACCUUUGUGUGUAAUAUCCUACCAUAUGUGUAAAGGAAUGGGAA
rnacentral:lncRNA from 1 species